CUAGGGUGUCGGCUGCCUCCCUUUGCUUCAGAGCCCAGGAGGCUCCUGUAGGUUCUGCUCAGCUCCUCGGCGCAGAUCAGGCAGUGUGAAGUGGCUGUGGAACCUCUGACGUAUUUUCAGUGACCAUAAAUGGCUUCUGCAUUAAAGAUAUAUGUGACUAUUAGGAAUUAUUCAACGGCCCGUCUGUGCGUGAGUGCUGCGGGCCCCGUGCGCGGCCCAUGGCGCAGCGUGGAGGCAGUUUAGCGUGGAGGCAGCGCAGCGACCGCACGCAGGAGCGCCCGCACGCGGGAGUGCCGCCUCUCCUCUCCUCUCCGGGCGUUUUGACAUCUCCGCUUCCACGCUGCCGCACUUAUUGCCAAGAUUCAUUGGAGGUUAAUUAAAUCCAUCUUCAAAACAACGA